ACGUCACGGGGGUUACGACCCUUCGACUUAUCAGUGAGUGGGCAGUUAUUUUCUGGUAUUACCUAUAUACUACUGAAUUUCCCAAAAAUUGAAUUUAAAUAAAAGUAUGUUUUUAAAAUGCCAUGCAUGCAUAUUAUGAAUUAUAUGAAUUAGUAAUUGAUGCAUAUAUAUGUGAAAUGGUGCUGUGGACGCACAGGUGAGUAUCGGGUGAGUUUAGAUUGUUCAUAUGAUUUAUUGUAAUGUGAAUUGUGUUGAGAACUCAUAACUUGCACCCCUGGUGUUAGUGCUUAUAAUAUUCACCGCACCACACGCUCACCUUGGAUCCAAGUAGGUGCAUGUCGUACAGACCAUGAAAGGGUUCCGACAUGCUAGUCGUACAAAUAACUAGAGGUGGUUUUGACCAGUAGGUGACCUUAGAUUAUGUGCACAGAUGAUUGAUGAGUGAAGCACUAGAGCGUAUUGUUACACCAUUCUUGUCGUACAGACUACUUCAGGUAGUUCCGACUUAUGUGCAGAGUAGUGCCGUACAGGUCACCGUGGUGACUCCGGUUGGUUUGGAUAUUGAGCUAUGGAAUUAACCGUACAGGACCAACUGCAGGGUCACCGGUUGAUUCAUUAUGUCACAUGUUAUAUUGAUGCAUUCUUAAUCUGUUAUUGACAUUUAUGGCAUGACAUAUUUUCUGGGUUUUGAUAAAGAUUGGUGAUUUGAAAUAUUUGAAGAAGUAUAUGCAUAUUAUGUUAUUUUAUGGGAAAGUAUACAGGUUUUAUAGUGAGGGGUUAGAAAUGUUUUAAAUGAAAUGUUUUUGAAACACUUUGGUUUUACUGACCCACUCAAUUUUGUUUUGCCCCCCUCCAGGUUCUAGUUAGCAGUGUUGGUGGCUCACGAGGAUUCCCACGGCAUUCUGACAGACUACUCAUGUAGGACUCACCUUCGGGUGUUGUAAU
rnacentral:lncRNA from 1 species